CGCAAGGCUAUUGCUGCAAGUAGGCUGGGGGGAGAAGGCCCAAGGAUUCCUUUCCGAGCCCGCCUUCGUUUCAUUCCGCUCCUGCUCACAAACCUGAGUUUUUCAAAAGAGGUGGUGAGAAAGAAGCUUAAAUGAGAUGAUUGCACUACUGUGGAUUGUUAUUGUACUGAUGAUGGUGAUCGUUAGUCCGAAGCUGAUUUUGAUCGCCGCCGAAAAUCCAGAAUUGUCUUCUCUCAUGAUGCUGCGGCUCACUACAGUCGAAAUGGUCUCUGUAUAGCGUACAACAACAGGCCCAAUGGUCUUUGGAAAAAAACUAUGACCAUCUGUGUAUAUGGUCAAAAUAUUUAUUUCUAUCCGUUGAACGGAACCAGACACUAAAUAGUGCGAGUGGCACUCAUCUUUGUUUAUAUUAUUUUCCAUUUGCUCAUCAUUUAUUUCUUAGACGCUAGUUUAUUAUGUAUGUAAAAGUUUCGUCUAUGAAUAGAUGUCAUAACAACAAA